GCCGUGGGCGCUGGAGAACUGAGGGGGGCUGCUCCUAGUACGAGAGGACCGGAGUGGACGCAUCACUGGUGUUCGGGUUGUCAUGCCAAUGGCACUGCCCGGUAGCUAAAUGCGGAAGAGAUAAGUGCUGAAAGCAUCUAAGCACGAAACUUGCCCCGAGAUGAGUUCUCCCUGAGACUUAGAGUCUCCUGAAGGAACGUUGAAGACGACGACGUUGAUAGGCCGGGUGUGUAAGCGCAGCGAUGCGUUGAGCUAACCGGUACUAAUGAACCGUGAGGCUUAACCUUACAACGCCGAAG
rnacentral:rRNA from 1 species